AGGGGUUUAGGAUAAUACAAAACCAAGGGCCUUCAAAGCCCUAAAUGAGGGUGAAAAUCCCCCAGCCCCUG
rnacentral:tRNA from 1 species